UGGCUAGUUGUUCAGCCAAUCCAGUGCGAAUGCGGAAAUGACGUAGGGACGCUAAAGAUGGCGUCAGAUUCAAACGGCUCGAAGGGUUGAUAGAGUCAUCAGCGGAGCCAUGCAGACAGAACCAGCGAGGCAGCGUGACUGGGUCAGACGGGGGGAGAAUGGGCAGAGCCGAGCGGAGCCGCAGGGGACCCAGCAGAGAGCUGAGAGGAACUCCAAGGAGGAGAAAGCAAGGCUGAAAGAGACGAUCAGCAUCCUGCAGACAGCGAGAGAGAAACCAGCAGGAGAGAGAGCGAGAAGGAGAACUGAAGGGGAAGAUGAGGAGGCAGGAGGAGAGC